UCGCCCUUCAAGUCCUCAUACCUUGGAGCCCUAAGGUUAGGGAACCCCAAAAAUUCUUGCCAUUUUAGUCAUCUCCUGGCUCGGUAUCGCUCAUAGCAACUCCGCGUUGAUGGUUUUCUCUCUGCUUCCUGGUCAACUCUGCGUCGCUCAUAGCAACGUUGAAAGGAUACUGGAAGGAAGUGGCAAUGGUGUCUACUCUUAAUCAACUACCUUAUAAUGCAAGUUUGCAGAAAGGAAGUGAUAAUGGUGUCUGAUAGAUGUCGAAGGUGAAGGCUUAUAUAUUGCAAGUUAUUUUUAUCAGUAUACACCAAAGUUUUAGUGUUACAUUGAAUAUUACAUAACAUAUGAGUUGCAUCUACUUUCAGGAGUCGAUAAGAAGAUAUCACGUGUAGUUAAAUAUGGCAUGUAAUACCAAAUUUAACGGCAUCAGUGGUGCCUUACAAAUACUAGUCAUUCUCACUAGUUAGUUCAGUUUAAGUUA